GGGCCCGUAGCUCACUUGGCUAGAGCGCCUGUUUUGCACACAGGAGGUAAGGAGUUCGACUCUCCUCGGGUCCACCA
rnacentral:tRNA from 1 species